AGUGAACGCUGGCGGCGUGCCUAAUACAUGCAAGUCGAACGGAGAUUAAGUAGCUUGCUAUUUAAUCUUAGUGGCGCACGGGUGAGUAAUAUAUAGCUAACUUGCCCAUUACUAAGGGACAACAGUUGGAAACGACUGCUAAUACCUUAUACUCCGUAUCUAUAUAAGUAGAUACGGGAAAGUUUUUCGGUAAUGGAUAGGGCUAUAUCGUAUCAGCUAGUUGGUAAGGUAAUGGCUUACCAAGGCUAUGACGCGUAACUGGUCUGAGAGGAUGAUCAGUCACACUGGAACGGAGACACGGUCCAGACUCCUACGGGAGGCAGCAGUAGGGAAGAUUGCUCAAUGGGGGAAACCCUGAAGCAGCAACGCCGCGUGGAGGAUGACACUUUUCGGAGCGUAAACUCCUUUUCUUGGGAAAGAAUUAUGACGGUACCCAAGGAAUAAGCACCGGCUAACUCCGUG
rnacentral:rRNA from 1 species